GUCUUAUCAUAUUGAAACACCAGUUCCCAUACAAUCAGUGAAGUUAAGCAACAUUGAGCCUGGUCAGUACCUAGAGUGACCAUUUGGGAAUACCAGGUGCUGUAAG